CAGCCGCCGCGGGAAUACGAAGGGUGCAAGCGUUAAUCGGAAUUACUGGGCGUAAAGCGUGCGUAGGCGGUUUGUUAAGACAGAUGUGAAAUCCCCGGGCUCAACCUGGGAACUGCAUUUGUGACUGGCAAGCUAGAGUGUGGCAGAGGGGGGUGGAAUUCCGCGUGUAGCAGUGAAAUGCGUAGAGAUCGGGAGGAACAUCAGUGGCGAAGGCGGCCAUCUGGGACAACACUGACGCUGAGGCACGAAAGUGUGGGGAGCAAACAGGAUUAGAUACCCCAGUAGUCCCUGUCUCUUAUAC
rnacentral:rRNA from 1 species